rnacentral:rRNA from 1 species
CCCGCUGAACUUAAGCAUAUUAUUAAGCGGAGGAAAAGAAACUAACAAGGAUGCCCUCAGUAACGGCGAGUGAAGCGGGCAAAGCUCAACCUGAAAAUCAAUUUCCUCUUACCGGGAUAUUGAAUUGUGGGGUAGAGACGCAAGAUCAGUGUGUACACCAGAUAUAAAUCUCUUUGAAACGAGGUAUCAUAGAGGGUGAGAAUCCCGUCUUUGAUCUGGUUGCGAUACGCGUACGAUCUGUGUUCAUAGAGUCGCGUUGUUUGGGAUUGCAGCGCUAAAUGGGUGGUAAAUUUCAUCUAAAGCUAAAUAUCGACGAGAGACCGAUAGCGAACAAGUACCGUGAGGGAAAGAUGAAAAGAACUUUGAAAAGAGAGUUAAAAAGUACUUGAAAUUGCUAAGAGGGAAGCACUGAAAACCAGUAGUAAUAAGAAUGAACUCGCGUGUAUAUUUACCCUUCGCUACGGGAUCACCGUUACCCAGAGUGUUUCGCGACCUGCUGGGGACGAUGUGUAUCGUGCGGGGGGGCCCUGUACUGCGACGUUCGGUCAACAUGAAUUUCAUUCGCACUGAUAGAAAGCUAUUACAACGGUAGGAUUCUCGGUAGCAAUAUCAAGGGUCUGUUUAGUGUAGUAGUUCAUUAAUAUCAUGGAUGAGAUUGAGGAAACGAAAGGCGCACCACAAGGUUAGCGAUUGGCGUUGUUGCCUGGUGGAUCAGAGUCCGUGGACAACAAAGUUGUGCUGGACUUGAAGUCCUCUACUGCAGCAUGCACAGUCAGCAGCAGCCUUAGAGAUGUUUGACUAAAUGGUUUUCAUUGACCCGUCUUGAAACACGG